GAGGGUAUAGCUCAAGUGGUAGAGCACACGCUUAGCAUGCAUGAGGUCCUGGGUUCAAUUCCCAGUACCUCUU
rnacentral:tRNA from 1 species